UACGAAGGGGGCUAGCGUUGCUCGGAGUCACUGGGCGUAAAGGGUGCGUAGGCGGGUCUUUAAGUCAGGGGUGAAAUCCUGGAGCUCAACUCCAGAACUGCCUUUGAUACUGAAGAUCUUGAGUUCGGGAGAGGUGAGUGGAACUGCGAGUGUAGAGGUGAAAUUCGUAGAUAUUCGCAAGAACACCAGUGGCGAAGGCGGCUCACUGGCCCGAUACUGACGCUGAUGCACGAAAGCGUGGGGAGCGAACAGG
rnacentral:rRNA from 1 species